rnacentral:rRNA from 1 species
GACGAACGCUGGCGGCGUGCUUAACACAUGCAAGUCGAACGGAAAGGCCCUGCUUUUGUGGGGUGCUCGAGUGGCGAACGGGUGAGUAACACGUGAGUAACCUGCCCUUGACUUUGGGAUAACUUCAGGAAACUGGGGCUAAUACCGGAUAGGAGCUCCUGCUGCAUGGUGGGGGUUGGAAAGUUUCGGCGGUUGGGGAUGGACUCGCGGCUUAUCAGCUUGUUGGUGGGGUAGUGGCUUACCAAGGCUUUGACGGGUAGCCGGCCUGAGAGGGUUACCGGCCACAAUGGGACUGAGAUACGGAGCAGACUGCUACGGGAGGCAGUAGGGGGGAAUAUUGCACAAUGGGCGGAAGCCUGAUGCAGCAACGCCGCGUGCGGGAUGACGGCCUUCGGGGUGUAAACAGCUUUCGCCUGUGACGAAGCGGGAGUGACGGUAAUGGGUAAAGAAGCACCGGCUAACUACGUG